AGCAUCUGGAGGGCCAGCAUCUCAUGCAUUGUACAAGGGCGGUGUUACUGAUCCUGAAGAGGCGAGACAUCUAAAGGCAAUCAUGAUCGCUGCAGCAGAGCUUGCAGCAUUGCGUCUUAGAGAUUUUCCUUCGGCGAAUCAAAAAGGUCUGGAAAUUGACAAGAGAGGCAGGGUGUUCCGUCUUCUUGACAAGAAUGGAGAUGGUAAAAUAAGCAUCGACGAACUUAUGGAAGUGAU
rnacentral:misc_RNA from 1 species